UCUCUAUGAUGUUUCCAAUGGAUCCUACUGAACCCCUGGCCGUGCAAUCAGUCAAAGGGCAUUUGACGAGAUUCUUUGGCUGAGAGA